rnacentral:piRNA from 1 species
UGAUGCACGUGAGCACUCCCAAGUUCAAA